rnacentral:rRNA from 1 species
GGCUGAAAUUCGCCUUCAUGAAGCCGGAAUUGCUAGUAAUGGCAGGUCAGCAUACUGCCGUGAAUACGUUCCCGGGCCUUGUACACACCGCCCGUCACACCAUGAGAGUUGGGGAUACCCGAAGCCUGUGAGCUAACUAUUUAUAGGAGCAGCAGUCGAAGGUAGAAUCAAUGAUUGGGGUGAAGUCGUAACAAGGUAAC